GUGCUUGCUUUGUCAGCACAUACACAAAAUUGGAACGAUAUAGAAAAUUUUAGCAUGGCCCCUUCACAAGAAUGACAUGCAAAUUUAUGAAGCGUUCCAUAUUUUU
ensembl:snRNA U6 U6 spliceosomal RNA